CAGUAGCCACGGUAAUACGAAGGGUGCAAGCGUUAAUCGGAAUUACUGGGCGUAAAGCGUGCGUAGGCGGUUUGUUAAGUCUGUUGUGAAAUCCCCGGGCUCAGCCUGGGAAUGGCAAUGGAUACUGGCAAGCUAGAGUGUGUCAGAGGGUGGUGGAAUUCCCGGUGUAGCGGUGAAAUGCGUAGAGAUCGGGAGGAACAUCAGUGGCGAAGGCGGCCAUCUGGGACAACACUGACGCUGAGGCACGAAAGCGUGGGGAGCAAACAGGAUUAGAUACCCCAGUAGUCCCUGUCUCUUAUAC
rnacentral:rRNA from 1 species